rnacentral:misc_RNA from 1 species
AACGCACGAGACCUGCGGACCUGCGGAAGGAUCAUUACAGAGAACUUGCCCGUCUGGGUAGAUCUCCCACCCUUUGUUUACUAUACCUUUGUUGCUUUGGCAAGCCUGUCUUGUGACUACUGGCCUCCAGCUAGUAAGUGCUUGCCAGAGGACCCCAAACACUUUACAUUGUGUUGUCUGAGUAGUACAGAAAUUUUUAAAACUUUUAACAACGGAUCUCU